UUACGUGAUCACAUGACUCCUUCCUGGCGCGCUUUAAUCCAGAAAUAGCUUUGUUUGACUAUCUUAACCGGGAAAAUGUUUGACACUGAACAUUUCAAGCUAGGAUAGAUUUGACAACUGAGGCAGAAACACCGCGUGUUUACCCACGACGAACCGGACCAGUUUGUGCUGAAACCAAAAAUUGGUAGAUACUCAUCAAUCACUGAGAGGUUACCCUGCAGACAGGAGAGAAUUGGUCUCUUUCCUCCAUCACCUCCAUCACUACAGUUCUGGGUCCAGUGAGGAUCAGGUGGCUGACUGUCCUGUAGUCCAGAUCGAGAACAUUGAGACCAUUCACAGAGACCACAAACUGUCGUACCUGUAAAUAUGGAAGCAGCAGCAGCUGGACCAAAUGGCUCCACAGCCUGAAUGUAGCAUGGCUGCUUUCCUCUAACCACAAACCCCCAUCCCACUGCAUCACCCACAAUCUGUAGAGAACCACAGAAAUCACAAUUUAUAGAACUG